UACAGAGGUCCCGAGCGUUGUUCGGAUUCACUGGGCGUAAAGGGUGCGUAGGUGGCAGGGUAAGUUUGAUGUGAAAUCUCCGGGCUUAACCCGGAAACUGCAUUGAAUACUAUCCUGCUUGAGGGUUGGAGGGGGGACUGGAAUUCUCGGUGUAGCAGUGAAAUGCGUAGAUAUCGAGAGGAACACCAGUGGCGAAGGCGAGUCCCUGGACAACACCUGACACUGAGGCACGAAAGCUAGGGGAGCAAACAGG
rnacentral:rRNA from 1 species